rnacentral:rRNA from 1 species
GGGUCAGUAGGUUGGUCGUGCCACCGGUACGUACUGGUCCCACUGAUUCCUCCUUCCUGAAGAACCGUAAUGCCAUUAAUUUGGUGUUGCGGGGAAACAGGACUGUUACUUUGAAAAAAUUAGAGUGUUUAAAGCAAGCUAACGCUUGGAUACAUUAGCAUGGAAUAAUGAAAUAGGACGAUCGAUCCUAUUUUGUUGGCUUCUAGGAUCGACGUA